GUGAGGAAUUUUCCGCAAUGGGCGAAAGCCUGACGGAGCAAUGCCGCGUGAAGGAUGAAGGCCUAUGGGUUGUAAACUUCUUUUCUCAGAAAAGAAUUAUGACGGUAUCUGAGGAAUAAGCAUCGGCUAACUCUGUGCCAGCAGCCGCGGUAAGACAGAGGAUGCAAGCGUUAUCCGGAAUGAUUGGGCGUAAAGCGUCUGUAGGUUGUUUAAAAAGUAUUCUGUCAAAGAUUAGGGCUUAACCCUAGAUAGGAAGAAUAAACUUUUAAGCUAGAGUUUGGUAGAGGCAGAGGGAAUUCCCGGUGGAGCGGUGAAAUGCGUAGAUAUCGGGAGGAACACCAAAGGCGAAGGCACUCUGCUGGGCCUAUACUAACACUGAGAGACGAAAGCGAGGGGAGCAAAUGGGAUUAGAUACCCCUGUAGUCC
rnacentral:rRNA from 1 species